CCUAACCCUAACUCGACGACUCCGCCUCACGCUCUCUUCUCCGCCCAACGCCGCGCCACCCUUCGCUCUCCGCGCCGCCCACCUCUCCGCCUCGCUCCGUACGUUGCAUCGCCAUCCUUCUCCGUUUUCUAAUUGCUAACAAGUUUUCACAUGUAUAUGCGAUUGACUGCGAAUUGACGACCAUUAAUUGACCAUAGCGAAAAUCCAUGAUCUCCUGCUUUAUGGAAAUCAGUCAUUUUUCAUACCGAGACUAGUGUUAGUACCUGAAUUACAUUCUAUCUCUGGGUUGUUCCGCUUUGGAUCAAGGAAAACGGAGCUCCUGGUGUGCGAGAGAGGAUAGUUGGUUAGGGUUUGUGGACAGUGACUGCCACCCUUUUCCAGUUUCCGUCACCCCCCAUGGUCAGUCUACUGCACAUGACACAAGCCACCGGUUGAUCACAUGCCAAAAGGAAAUUAACAAUAUAAAAUAGAGGAGACCAACCAAACAACUCCUCUAGCUACAAUCCUUUUCCAUUUUCCAUCGCUACCGCACACAACCAAAAUGCAAGUCACAUGGGAAUAAAAGAAAGAAGACACCAACCAAACAACCCCCUUCUCUUUCUCCUCCUUGCAGACUCGGUUUGAGCCUUUGCUCUCUGGAGAUCAGUUUCAGAAACUGUGUUCGAGAGAUGCACAUUCAUCACAUGGGAAAUAAAUAUAUGAAGAGCUGAGAGUUCUUAGAAAGAGAGGAGAGACAACAAAUGCCAUUGUAACUCAUUUUAGAAAUAUGGAGGACGAGAAUGGGCUUGAGCUAAGUUUGGGCCUUUCUUUUGGAGGAUCCUCAGGCAAAUCCAAAAGCAGAGAUGUUAGCUUAGAUCACAGGAUAGAUGAAGGAAGUUGUGUGAAAACGGUGGGUAGCAGCAGCAUGGCUGCUUCUGAUGUACCACUUAAGAACUUCUUCCAAACUAACGCUGAAGACCAGGAGCACAGUGGGAAACAAGCAGUUCUGCAACCUCGAGAAAACUUCUGGACAGACCUGAACAAAUUUACUGUUUCAGUAUCAGAUGGUUCUGAUAAUAAACGGAGUAACCAAUUGCAGUUCAUGGGAAAUCAAGAGCCAUUUAUAGCAAAUAGCAAGACAACAAACAGUGAGGAAGACAAUUCAGGAGCCAAGAAACGUCGAUUGACCACUGAGGAAAUGAAUUUUCAAAAGAACCAUGUGUCGUUGGUUGACCAUUCUGCAAUAGCUGGCAAGGGUCCUUCUGGUGAUACUUUUGUCAAAUUAUCACAUAACACACCUUCCAUGGAUGAUGGUUGCUCUGGUGAAAAUGACGAUGUAGAAGGGUCAGAGGCAGAAGGAUCAAACUCUUGGUUGGUUUCUCAGCGUGAGGACAGCUUUAAGCACUCGGACCUUCCUAAAGGUGCUGACAAGAGUGCCUCGUCUGGAAUCAGCCAUCAAGGGCAGAAGCAGCAACUUUAUUCAGGAAAUGAGUCCAAUCCUGGACUUGGGAAAGUUGCACAUGGAAUUCCAUUAUCACUUCAACCACUAACUGUCAUGACUGUGCCUUACCCAAUACCAGUUGAAGUACCACCUGCCGCUAGUGUACCUAACACGGUAGCUUUUCCUUCACCUUGUGUCAUGCAACUGAUGCCUGUUGCAAACAGUGAACAGCCUGUGGUCCAGGCCGUGAACACUAACAACUCGCAGAUGGCUUUUGGAUAUUCAACUAUCCAACUCCCAAGACUAGAAACCAAUUCUUCCUGGGCAUUUGGUUCUCAGUCUCAGCUUGUCUCUUCCUCUACAACUAAAAACCAUGCGGAUGGAGGGCCAGAUUCUCAGCAUGCUGAACCUCAUGUUCGGAUACCCCAUGGUUCCUCAUCAGCCUUGGCAUUGGAGGGGAGAUCGACAAAUUCCACAAAAGGUGGUAAGCAUGUUAUUGAUACUGGCACAUCUUCCUCAUCGCAUGUGGAAGAUGAAGCCAAGGGAAUAAAUACUGUUUUCUGGCAAAGUAAUAAAGCAAACCCUGAUGAAGGCCAUGAAGGAUCCCAAAUAAGACCAGGUGCUGCACCAAAUGUGAAAUUUGGAGGAUGUGGUUCAUAUCCAGAUCUCCCAUGGGUUUCAACAACUGGGCCAGGCCCAAACGGUAGAACCAUAUCUGGUGUUACCUACAAGUACACUGAAAACCAGAUAAAGAUUGUUUGUGCUUGUCAUGGGUAUCACAUGUCCCCUGGAGAGUUUGUUCGACAUGCUAGUGCAGAUGCUGCCGAUGCUGAAAAUAGCGCAACUCUUGCACCAUUUGCCACUACCAAUCCGGCAACUUCUGCACAGAACUAAUUCUCAAGCACCUCUUGUGAUGGUGGUCUCCAUUGAGUGCAAAUAAGUGGAUACAGCUCUGAAAAACUAGAUAAAGAUUACUAAUGUAGCUAGGUCUUGUUGCGAGUGAUAUUUGCUACAGAAGAGAGAACUCUUUUUGUCUUGUUGUGAAUCACUUUCCUGUUGUGCUCAUGGAAGAUGGCAAAAGUAGCUUAGCAACCUGAGGCUCUAGCGUCCUUUUAAUUGCUUUUUCGUGGGAAAAUAUAUAUGCUCGUAGGGGCUCUUAUCCUUGGAGGACACAUAUUAUGGACUAUGCAAUGAAGAUGAGUUAUUUAAGGUGGACCAGUUGUGAAAAUUGAGCAAGUUUAUGGUUUAUUUGAUUCCGAGGAGCAGACACUUCCUCGUUGUACUGUUGCAGCUUUCUGUAUCACACAAGUCUGUUUAAUCUUCAGCAGGUAAAGAAUAUGGAAUUCUGCUAGGAAUCUAAUCAGCAGCAUACUUUUUUCUACACCAAGGAUUGAUGGUUGUCGACGUUGUAUAACAAGAUCGAAUCAAGAUUAUAGUUCUUGCUUCAACUCUUCUCUGUAUCUGUGCCAUUUCACAGCUAAUUACUCGUUUUAACUCA